AUCCUUUUCCAGUUUAUAAGUGUGAUAAUUGGGUUCUCAUGCACUUGUGUGACAUGUGCCUCCCACUAAACCUUGCUAUGACUUGCGCACACUACCCGUCUGACG